GAUGAACGCUGGCUACAGGCUUAACACAUGCAAGUCGAGGGGAAACGACGGGGAAGCUUGCUUCCCCGGGCGUCGACCGGCGCACGGGUGAGUAACGCGUAUCCAACCUGCCUCUGACUGAGGGAUAACCCGUCGAAAGUCGGCCUAAUACCUCAUGGCAUCGUCUGCGGGCAUCCAACGACGAUUAAAGAUUUCAUCGGUCAGGGAUGGGGAUGCGUCUGAUUAGCUUGUUGGCGGGGUAACGGCCCACCAAGGCUACGAUCAGUAGGGGUUCUGAGAGGAAGGUCCCCCACAUUGGAACUGAGACACGGUCCAAACUCCUACGGGAGGCAGCAGUGAGGAAUAUUGGUCAAUGGGCGGGAGCCUGAACCAGCCAAGUAGCGUGCAGGAUGACGGCCCUAUGGGUUGUAAACUGCUUUUAUGCGGGGAUAAAGUGAGGGACGUGUCCUUCAUUGCAGGUACCGCAUGAAAAAGGACCGGCUAAUUCCGUG
rnacentral:rRNA from 1 species